rnacentral:rRNA from 1 species
UACGUAGGGUGCAAGCGUUGUCCGGAAUUAUUGGGCGUAAAGGGCUCGUAGGCGGUCCAUCGCGUCGGGAGUGAAAAGCUGGGGCUUAACCCCAGUCCUGCUUCCGAUACGGUGGACUAGAGGUAGGUAGGGAGAUCGGAAUUCCUGGUGUAGCGGUGAAAUGCGCAGAUAUCAGGAGGAACACCAAUGGCGAAGGCAGAUCUCUGGGCCGUAACUGACGCUGAGGAGCGAAAGCAUGGGGAGCGAACAGG